GAUGAACGCUGGCGGCGUGCCUAAUACAUGCAAGUCGAGCGAACGGACGAGAAGCUUGCUUCUCUGAUGUUAGCGGCGGACGGGUGAGUAACACGUGUAUAACCUACCUAUAAGACUGGUAUAACUUCGAGAAACCGGAGCUAAUACCGUAUAAUAUUUUGAACCGCAUGGUUCAAAAGUGAAAGACGGUCUUGCUGUCACUUAUAGAUGGAUCUGCGCUGGAUUAGCUAGUUGGUAAGUUAACGGCUUACGACGGCAACGAUGCAUAACCGACGUGACAGGGUGAUCGCCCACACUGGAGCUGAGACACGGUCAAGGCGCCUACGGGAGGCACCAGUAGGGAACAUUACGCAGCGGGCGGAAGCAUGACGGAGCAAGGCGGCGCGAGUGAUGAAGGUCUUCGGAUCGUAAAACCCUGUUAUUAGUGAUGAACAUCUGUGUAAGUAAAUGUGCCCAUAUUGACGGUAACUAGUCAGAAAGCAACGGCUAACUACGUG
rnacentral:rRNA from 1 species